rnacentral:rRNA from 1 species
AUAUCAAUAAGCGGAGGAAAAGAAACUAACAAGGAUUCCCCUAGUAACUGCGAGUGAAGCGGGAAAAGCUCAAAUUUAAAAUCUGGCGGUCUCCGGCUGUCCGAGUUGUAAUCUAGAGAAGUGUUUUCGGCGGGCGCCCGGGUACAAGUCCUCUGGAACUGGGCAUCAUAGAGGGUGAGAAUCCCGUCUUUGACCCGGAGCUACCUGCUAUGUGAUACACUUUCAAAGAGUCGGUUUGUUUGGGAAUGCAGACCAAAAUGGGUGGUAAAUUCCAUCUAAAGCUAAAUAUUGGCGAGAGACCGAUAGCGCACAAGUA